rfam:Loxodonta africana unplaced genomic scaffold scaffold_58, whole genome shotgun sequence.
CACAGUAGAACUGCCGCCCUGAAAGCACUCAAUCUUGUCUGAUCUCAAAAGCUAAGCAGGAUCAGGCCUGGUUAGUACUUGGAUUGGAGACUACCUGGGAAUACCAGGUGUAGGCUUUUG